AGAGACAAAGGGGGCUGGUACAGUGGCAGGUGGUACUCUAUCAUGACCUGUGUUCUGUUGGCUACCAGGUGUUUCUGCACUGCAGUGCAUCCGUGUGCCAGCCUACAGGGAUGCUAUCGUGCAUGGUCACCUGUUCUCCUGCCAAGCGAAGAAGAAAAUCUGACCUGUAUUUUCAGAACAGUACUGCCAGCGUUUCUAGCAAGGGUCCUAUGAUUCUACUCCAAACUACUGAAGAUCCUUUAGAAAAGCUCCGUAAAUCUACAGGUGAGUAGAGAACUCCUGGCUAGCUACCUGAAUCAUCAAUUAAUCCAAAGGC
rnacentral:lncRNA from 1 species